rnacentral:rRNA from 1 species
AGCGAACGCUGGCGGCAGGCCUAACACAUGCAAGUCGAACGAACUCUUCGGAGUUAGUGGCGGUCGGGUGAGUAACACGUGGGAACGUGCCUUUUGGUUCGGAAUAACUCAGGGAAACUUGUGCUAAUACCGAAUGUGCCCUUCGGGGGAAAGAUUUAUCGCCAUUAGAGCGGCCCGCGUCUGAUUAGCUAGUUGGUGAGGUAACGGCUCACCAAGGCGACGAUCAGUAGCUGGUCUGUGAGGAUGACCAGCCACACUGGGACUGAGACACGGACCAGACUCCUACGGGAGGCAGCAGUGGGGAAUCUUGCGCAAUGGGCGAAAGCCUGACGCAGCCAUGCCGCGUGAAUGAUGAAGGUCUUAGGAUUGUAAAAUUCUUUCACCGGGGACGAUAAUGACGGUACCCGGAGAAGAAGCCCCGGCUAACUUCGUG